AAUCAAAUACCACAUCGGUAGUGGGGCUUUUUUCAGGCAGAAGCAAAGGCUGUUCCUCAUAGCUCUUGAUGU
rnacentral:tRNA from 1 species